rnacentral:sRNA from 1 species
AGAUAUUCGAGUAUAUGGGGAUAAAUAUCCUACAUUCAACGAUAGAUCGCGCUGAAAAAGGAAUGGGGGGCUAACACCCCCCAUUUUGUUCUUC